GACGAACGCUGGCGGCGUGCUUAACACAUGCAAGUCGAACGAUGAAGCCCAGCUUGCUGGGUGGAUUAGUGGCGAACGGGUGAGUAACACGUGGGCAACCUGCCCCAAACUCUGGGAUAACUCCUCGAAAGAGGUGCUAAUACCGGAUACGAACUAGACAGACAUCUGUACUAGUUGGAAAGUUUUUCGGUUUGGGAUGGGCCCGCGGCCUAUCAGCUUGUUGGUGAGGUAACGGCUCACCAAGGCUACGACGGGUAACCGGCCUGAGAGGGCGACCGGUCACACUGGGACUGAGACACGGCCCAGACUCCUACGGGAGGCAGCAGUGGGGAAUAUUGCGCAAUGGGCGAAAGCCUGACGCAGCGACGCCGCGUGAGGGAUGAAGGUCUUCGGAUCGUAAACCUCUUUCAGUAGGGACGAAGCGAAAGUGACGGUACCUAAAGAAGAAGCACCGGCUAACUACGUGCCAGCCGCCGCAGUAAAAC
rnacentral:rRNA from 1 species